GGGUUUGUAGUUUAGUGGUUUGAGUGUUGGACUAUGACUCUGGAGACCAGGGUUCAAUACCCUCUGGGUGACCCU